GCUUAUAUAGUUUAACACUUAAAACAUCCAUUUUGUAAAUAGAAGAUACCCCGUUAUAAGCA
rnacentral:tRNA from 1 species